GCCAGAUGCGGUGGCGUGUGCCUGUAGCCCCACUAGGGAGGCUGCGGUGGGAGGAUCGCUUGAGCCCAGGAGUUCUGGGCUGUAGUGCACUAUGCCGAUCGGGUGUCCGCACUAAGUUCGGCAUCAAUAUGGUGACCUCCCGGGAGCGGGGGACCACCAGAUUGCCUAAGGAGGGGUGAACCGGCGCAGGUCGGAAACGGAGCAGGUCAAAACUCCCGUGCUGAUCAGUAGUGGGAUCGUGCCUGUGAAUAGCCACUACACUCCAGCCUAGGCAACACAGCAAGACCCGAGACCCU
ensembl:misc_RNA Metazoa_SRP Metazoan signal recognition particle RNA